rnacentral:rRNA from 1 species
AAAUAGAACUUUGCAGAGAGAGUUAACAGGGCGUGAAACCGUUGAUUGGCAAACGAAUCGGAGCCACGAAGUCGUUUCGUCGUUAGUUGGGCGGAGUUCAGCUUGUGUCGGCAACGGCGCGGGCGUAUUCUCGUCGCUCAACCAACCUUGUAAGCGUACACUGCAACCAGUUAGACGAUCACGCCAUGGGCUGAGCGUCGCUCGCGGUAGUAGUAGCGCGGUCGCGUUUCGGCGCUUCUCGUGUUGCUGGCCGCGUUGCGGGUGAACUAUGGCUGAAUACUGACUGGCGAAAUGAAAACCGUUGAAAGACGUUAGAGAAAAGGCGGUUGGCCGCAUGGGCGUCUACGCGCUCGACUGUCGCGUCUCUUAAGCUUGGCGUCUUUGAAUUCAGACUUGCUCGCUACCAGUGGGGCAACUCCUGGUGCUUGUACAGCUUCUGUCUAAUCGGGCGUCGACUUGGCGCGGCAUCGUUCGUGGCGUGAACCGCUCGGGCGCUCAUGUGAGCUGGCGCGCAAUUUGAAUUGGCAGUGAGUAGGUCGGCUUUCCGAACGACCCGUCUUGAAACACGGACCAAGGAGUCUAAUUGGGCAUCGAGUCGAUCGGUCUUGAAUAGGCCAGAAGGGCGUGUGCGCGCCGAGAAGGCGUAGAGAUCGUGUGAUCGUCUGGCAACAACAGCCAUUGCGCGCAACAUGUGCCUGUUCGUAUAGCAAUUGUAGCAAUAAUUGCUGGGCGGAGCAAAGAGAUGCCCGAUUGGGACCCGAAAGAUGGUGAUGCUUGGGCAAAUUGAAGCCAGAGGAAACUCUGGUGGAGGAUUUAGUCUGACGUGCAAAUCGAUCGUCAGACCUGAGUAUAGGGGCGAAAGACUAAUCGAACCAUC